UACGGAGGGUGCAAGCGUUAUCCGGAUUCACUGGGUUUAAAGGGUGCGUAGGUGGGUUGGUAAGUCAGUGGUGAAAUCUCCAGGCUUAACUUGGAAACUGCCAUUGAUACUAUCAAUCUUGAAUACCGUGGAGGUCAGCGGAAUAUGUCAUGUAGCGGUGAAAUGCUUAGAUAUGACAUAGAACACCAAUUGCGAAGGCAGCUGGCUACAGGUGGAUUGACACUGAGGCACGAAAGCGUGGGGAUCAAACAGG
rnacentral:rRNA from 1 species